rnacentral:rRNA from 1 species
UACGUAGGGUGCAAGCGUUGUCCGGAAUUAUUGGGCGUAAAGAGCUCGUAGGCGGUCUGUCGCGUCGGCUGUGAAAUCCCGAGGCUCAACCUCGGGUCUGCAGUCGAUACGGGCAAACUGGAGUGUUGCAGGGGAGACUGGAAUUCCUGGUGUAGCGGUGAAAUGCGCAGAUAUCAGGAGGAACACCGGUGGCGAAGGCGGCUUGCUGGGCCUUACCUGACGCUGAGGAGCGAAAGCGUGGGGAGCAAACAGG